UACGAAGGGGGCUAGCGUUGCUCGGAAUUACUGGGCGUAAAGAGCGUGUAGGCGGCCAGGUAGGUCUGCUGUGAAAACUCGAGGCUUAACCUCGAGCUGUCGGCGGAAACCAGCUGGCUAGAGUCCGGAAGAGGAGAAUGGAAUUCCCGGUGUAGCGGUGAAAUGCGCAGAUAUCGGGAAGAACACCCGUGGCGAAGGCGGUUCUCUGGGACGGUACUGACGCUGAGACGCGAAAGCGUGGGGAGCGAACAGG
rnacentral:rRNA from 1 species